rnacentral:rRNA from 1 species
UGCCAGCAGCCGCGGUAAUACGAGGGGUGCAAGCGUUAAUCGGAAUUACUGGGCUUAAAGAGUUCGUAGGUGGUUGAAAAAGUUGGUGGUGAAAUCCCAGAGCUUAACCCUGGAACUGCCUUUAAAACUGUUAGUCUUGAGAUCGAGAGAGGUGAGUGGAAUUCCAAGUGUAGAGGUGAAAUUCGUAGAUAUUUGGAGGAACACCAGUGGCGAAGGCGGCUCACUGGCUCGAUACUGACGCUGGGGUGCGAAAGUGUGGGGAGCAAACAGGAUUAGAUA